rnacentral:ncRNA from 1 species
ACGGUGAUGUGCAGGCUGAAAGAAGCAAAUAGCAAAGAUCCGAACCGACGCACAGAAAUUAUCUGAGGCGGCACAUGACGGAUGAGCGUGCAAAAUAACGUUAAGUCCGAUAUCCUGACAGAGUCAUGGACGUAAAGAAGGCGGUAACGGAUUGAAGGUUAAU